rnacentral:rRNA from 1 species
GUCCCCUAAAGGGUUGUUGAAGACUACGACGUUGAUAGGCAGGGUGUGGAAGCGUUGUGAGGCGUUGAGCUAACCUGUACUAAUUGCCCGUGAGGCUUAACCAUACAACCCCUAAGAAGUU